UUUGUACUCCCUCCGUCCCAAAAUUCUUGUCUUAAAUUUGUCUAAAUACGGAUGUAUCUAGUUACAUUUUAGUGUUAGAUACAUCCGUAUCUAAACAAAUGUAAGACACGAAUUUUGGGACGGAGGGAGUACUAC
rnacentral:pre_miRNA from 1 species